rnacentral:lncRNA from 1 species
GAAUUUGGGGAAAUUACCAUUUUUCUUUGGCUCCGAAUAAUGUGAAGAAAGGGAAACUGGACAGAAUUGAAAAUGAUAGAUAACCUCUGAAUAGCAUUAACAAAAUAUUUGAUAAUGCAUUGGAGACACGGAGAUGAAAUUGUAAAACAGAAGAAACUUACAUCAAACUGUGGGAUAUACCAUUUGAACAAAAACACAAAAAAUAUUUACUGCUAUGGAAUUGCAGAAGAAGAAUUCUUCACACAAGAAGAGAUGAAAAGAGACAGAAAGAUCUGAAGUACAAGGACAUGCGACAGAGAAUCACAUGGGAGUCUGGGUCAAGAUUCUGAAAAAAACAGACUUCUGAGAGAAGCUUUGGGAGGUAGCUGAGAUUUUCAUCUUUAUACAAGAUUUCUGGCCCUUUGUGAGAUACCAGCUUGAGAGGAGA